UACGUAGGGGGCUAGCGUUGUCCGGAAUCAUUGGGCGUAAAGCGCGUGUAGGCGGUUCGGUAAGUCCGCUGUGAAAGUCGGGGGCUCAACCCUCGGAUGCCGGUGGAUACUGUCGGACUAGAGUACGGAAGAGGCAAGUGGAAUUCCUGGUGUAGCGGUGGAAUGCGCAGAUAUCAGGAGGAACACCGAUGGCGAAGGCAGGUCUCUGGGCCGCAACUGACGCUGAGGAGCGAAAGCAUGGGGAGCGAACAGG
rnacentral:rRNA from 1 species